GUGGGGAAUAUUGGACAAUGGGCGCAAGCCUGAUCCAGCCAUACCGCGUGGGUGAAGAAGGCCUUCGGGUUGUAAAGCCCUUUUGUUGGGAAAGAAAUCCUGUCGGUUAAUACCUGGCGGGGAUGACGGUACCCAAAGAAUAAGCACCGGCUAACUUCGUGCCAGCAGCCGCGGUAAUACGAAGGGUGCAAGCGUUACUCGGAAUUACUGGGCGUAAAGCGUGCGUAGGUGGUGGUUUAAGUCCGUUGUGAAAGCCCUGGGCUCAACCUGGGAAUUGCAGUGGAUAGUGGAGCAAUAGAGUGUGGUAGAGGGAUGCGGAAUGUCUGGUGUAGCAGUGAAAUGCGUAGAGAUCAGAAGGAACAUCCGUGGCGAAGGCGGCAUCCUGGGCCAACACUGACACUGAGGCACGAAAGCGUGGGGAGCAAACAGGAUUAGAUACCCUAGUAGUCC
rnacentral:rRNA from 1 species